GCUUCUAUAUCCAGACUGGUAAGGCCUUACACUAGUAUUUUGCAGUCUAGCAGUUUGAGGUGGCUGGAA